AGCCUUUAGGCUACCGUUGUUGAAUCUCGCCUGAGCUCAGAAGCAAAGUAGAGUUGGGUCGGGCUCGUACCUGGAUGGGAGACCACCAGGAAAUCACGAGUUGNGGGCUA
rnacentral:rRNA from 1 species